GACGAACGCUGGCGGCGUGCUUAACACAUGCAAGUCGAACGGUAAGGCCCCUUCGGGGGUACACGAGUGGCGAACGGGUGAGUAACACGUGAGCAACCUGCCCUUGACUCUGGCAUAACAGUUGGAAACAGCUGCUAAUACUGGAUAUUCAUCGUCUCCUUCCUGGGGGGUGGUGGAAAGCUCCGGCGGUCAGGGAUGGGCUCGCGGUCUAUCAGCUUGUUGGUGAGGUAAUGGCUCACCAAGGCUUCGACGGGUAGCCGGCCUGAGAGGGCGACCGGCCACACUGGGACUGAGAUACGGCCCAGACUCCUACGGGAGGCAGCAGUGGGGAAUAUUGCACAAUGGGCGCAAGCCUGAUGCAGCAACGCCGCGUGCGGGAUGACGGCCUUCGGGUUGUAUACCGCUUUCAGUAGGGACGAAGGGUGACUGACGGUACCUACAGAAGAAGGACCGGCUGACUACGUG
rnacentral:rRNA from 1 species